rnacentral:rRNA from 1 species
UGCUUUACACAUGCAAGUCGAACGGGGGUAAUUAGCUUGCUAAUUAUCUUAGUGGCGAACGGGUGAGUAAUGUAUCGGAACGUGCCUUGUAGUGGGGAAUAACUAAGCGAAAGUUUAGCUAAUACCGCAUAAUACCUGAGGGUUAAAGUGGGGGAUCGCAAGACCUCAUGCUACGAGAGCGGCCGAUAUCUGAUUAGCUAGUUGGUAGGGUAAAAGCCUACCAAGGCGACGAUCAGUAGCUGGUCUGAGAGGACGACCAGCCACACUGGGACUGAGACACGGCCCAGACUCCUACGGGAGGCAGCAGUGGGGAAUUUUGGACAAUGGGCGAAAGCCUGAUCCAGCAAUGCCGCGUGUGCGAAGAAGGCCUUCGGGUUGUAAAGCUC